GGAACGGAAGGAAACCAUUAACGCCUCAAAGACCCCAAGUACACCUGUUACCUCUACCCGGUUCCUAAUCGAUGAUUGCCUGGAAUAAUGAAAAAAACAAUGUUCUGAAAAGUAAAUUUUACAGUUACCAACCGCAAUAGUUCCGCACUGUAUCAAAAUCUCGGGUCAGUGACUCAGUGUCGCCAACGUGACACAAAGUCAUUAAACUUUUUACAUCAAACUUGUCGAGAAGGAUGCCUCAGGCUGGACACUAUUACUCCAAUUGAAAAUGAAUGGACAUAGGUAAAAAGUUUAAAAGAGACUUUCAUUGGAUCACCUUGCAACCUCUUACUUUCAUUUGAAACACUCAUGCAGCCACCAUAUAGACAUCUUAAAAACAUAUUUUUGGAUAUGCAAACUAUGGCACUAAGUUAACGUCUCCAUACUUCGCAUGUUUGUCGCAUGUGAAAAAGAAUUCAAAUGGAAUGUGAUGCCUAGGUAGCAGAAUGAGCUCAGAAGAUUGCCCAACAUCUAUGGAAAAAUGACUUAGCUGAUGCUAUUAUUUUGUUCCAAGAAUGUUGAAUGUCUACUGUGAAGGUUUAUUAGAUAGUUGUACUGACACAACCUUUCUUUUCUAGAACCAGCUACAUUUAGUAGAUUAGCUUUAUUGGAGAACUGUUAAAUAUUUGAUAUUCAUAAUGUUCGCGAAUUCGAGUAAUUAUGAAUAUUGUGAUUUUUGCGUGACGUUUGAUUUUUUUUUAUGUGACGUUUGCUUUGAGGUAUUUCCUGCGUUAUGGCAUUCCAGUAAGAUCUUUACUCUUUCCGCAAUUUUUCCCAACAGACUUUCAUAAAGAUGAAGUAAGAACCUUAGGUCGCGAGCUGGAACUGCCCGCAGAAUUACUGGAAUGUCACACGUUUCCUAGUCCCGGUUUGUCAAUUCGAAUCAUUUACGCCGAAGAACUUUUCAUGGAAACUGAUUUCGGUGAGACGCAAGUGCUGAUUCGUUUGAUGGUCGAUUAUGCUAACAUGACAGCCAAGAACAUGCCUUGCACAAUGGGAUUGAAAUCGGGACGUUGGAAGAAGAUCGUUUUCUUCUGGAAGAACUAUCCAGUCGCAACCAGUAUGUUGCCACGCUACUGCCUAUUCGCAUUGUCGGUAUUCAACUAGCCCAGAUGCCAAUCGUCUUGAUCCGUCUUCCCCUGGAUCGCGAUUCGAGUCAACGCAUUCCAUCAUGCCAGUGAUCAGUUAUUUUUCGACCAUUCCUUUCUCAGGAUUUUAUGAUUGGACCUCCUGCAAUUCUUGAUACUCAUCUGCUCCAAGAGGGAAGUAAAAAGUGGUACAUUUUAAAAGCUGAUUUUGGUGUAAACAUGGAUACUGCUUAUUAAUUUGUAGACAAGGUGGUUGAAACCGUCUUAACUGUUCCAGGAAUUUCCAGGGUCUUGUCGGGGUCUGAAAAAAUUUCCAGGGUCUCGGCAAAACCCCCCGGGACAACGGAGUGGGAAUGGUUUGUUUUACGAACAUUGCUUAGGCAAAUCAUUUCCGCACUCUUUAUAGGACACGGAUACGGAGUUGUAUCAUUGACCAGACUUAGAUGAGAAAAUGAACAGUGGAUUCAGUAUAGACUUUUGAAAUUGAAAAAUCAAUCAGCUUUGUCGUCUCGUUAAAAUCUCUUAAACUCGAUUUGAAAGAGGAGUUAACGUGAUGAAUGGUUGGCUAUUCCUUAAAUGUACAUGCACAUUUGUUGAAAAUAAUGGGUGCAGUUGUUUUUCGUCGAACAAAUUAAACAUUUUCGAGCAUUGUUAA
rnacentral:lncRNA from 1 species